UAGGGUUUGGGGUUUGGAGGGGAGAGAGGUAAGGGAGGGAAAGGGAAGGGAAGGAAAGAGAGAGAGGGAGGAAUCAGAAUGCAUUAAGGCUAGAGAGAGAGAGUUUGGCUCCAGAAGAAAGGAGUUUGUCUGAGUCGAAGAGGAAGGGAGAGAGAGUUUGGAGGAUUGGACAAGUACCAUUAGGGGAAGAACCUCAGAUUUUGUUGUUAG
rnacentral:misc_RNA from 1 species